GGGGUUGUGGCUCAGCGGUAGAGCACUUGCCGAGCAUGUGAGAGGCACUGGGUUCAAUCCUCAGCACCACA
rnacentral:tRNA from 1 species